GUGGGGAAUAUUGCACAAUGGGGGAAACCCUGAUGCAGCGACGCCGCGUGAGCGAUGAAGGAAUUCGUUUCGUAAAGCUCUGUCCAAGGGGAAGAUAAUGACAGUACCCUUGGAGGAAGCCCCGGCUAAAUACGUGCCAGCAGCCGCGGUAAUACGUAUGGGGCGAGCGUUGUCCGGAAUUAUUGGGCGUAAAGGGUACGUAGGCGGUUAGAUAAGUCAGAUGUAAAAGCGUGGGGCUCAACCCCAUAAAGCAUUUGAAACUGUGUAACUUGAGUAGUGGAGAGGAAAGUGGAAUUCCUAGUGUAGCGGUGAAAUGCGUAGAUAUUAGGAGGAAUACCAGUGGCGAAGGCGACUUUCUGGACACAAACUGACGCUGAGGUACGAAAGCAUGGGGAGCAAACAGGAUUAGAUACCCCUGUAGUCC
rnacentral:rRNA from 1 species